rnacentral:misc_RNA from 1 species
AAGUCGUAACAAGGUAACCGUAGGUGAACCUGCGGUUGGAUCAUUAAUGUAUGAUAUGGUAGUGGAAACUACUAUAAAAAAAAAGAAGUUUCAUAAGGGGGGGUUUGUAAAAAUUCCCCCUCUUGGAAUUUUCUUUCAUACCUUUUGUGAAUGGUUUUUGAAAAUGUAUUUGGCAUGAGAGAAAUUCAUUUCUCUAGUCCUUUACUGGUCAACAUGUCAAUUUACUAACUUAUUAAACAUUUUUUUUAGUACAUUGGUUUUAUUAAUUAUUUCAAUAAUUUUGAAACAACUUUUGACAACGGAUCUCUUGGCUCUC